rnacentral:lncRNA from 1 species
AACUCACACUCGCCGCAGUCCUUUGAGGCAGGAGCUGUGGCUGCGCCUGCUUUGGAAACAGGCAAACAAACACUGUGAUGCCAACAGGCAGCUGUGCAGCGGGGCCAGCCCCUCACCACACGCGCGCACACGGUCCAGCCAGGGGCCCAGAUGUGGGAACAGACUGUGCCCAGUUCCCAGGGUGGAAGCCGAAUGAAUUUUCCCUUCCCACUCCUCCCCACAAGGCUUGCCAAAUGCUUUCGGAAUUGGUUGGGGCUCUAGUCCUGGCCAAACCAGAGGAAAAAUGUUUCAUGAUGGGAAAAACAAGACACCAGCCCCGGGCGCGUCCAGGUCUCCACUGGCUCUCCCGAGCCUGGCGUGGCUGAGCUGCAGCGGGGGGCCUGGCCCUGAGCUGGGGCUGAGCUCAGGGAAGAAUUGUUCCGCAGAGCAGUCUGAGGGGGCUCCCCGGUCCUGGCGUGCAGGUGGGUUUAAGGGACGCCCAGGGACCACCUCCCCACGCAAGCCUGAGGACCUCUGAACUUUGCUACAAGUACAACCAACUUUAGCCACUCUUGGUUGGACCUGACUAGAAAGGGUGGUGGGAAGGCAAGAAGGGUCUGAAUUUAGGAUCUGGAAGUUGAGGGCUCUAAGGACAGGUCUGCUACUAACCCAAGCAAGUCUCCGCCUGGUGUGGGGACUCAGUUUCCCUAUGUCUAGUGAGGUGUGGGCCAAGACCAGUGGGUUUCACCUUUUUUGACUGUGGCCCACAAUACAACCCAUGCUGUAACACAGUCCACACGUCUCUAUGUAACUGAAAAGCAGCACCUGCAUCAAGGCUUACAAUGUAUCCUCCUGCUGUCUGUCCCCCACUGCUGUCCAUCCCCACUGCUGUCCAUUCCCCCACUGCUGUCCAUCCCCACUACUGUCCAUUCCCCACUGCUGUCCACCCCCCACUGCUGUCCACCCCCCACUGCUGUCCACCCCCCACUGCAUCUAGAAAUGGCUACAUUCGUUGAAUGAACCACCAGUAGGUUGGGACCCACUGAUUAUAAAACCUGCCUGUAGUCCUGGGCUCUCACCCUGCCAUUCUGAGCAUUCUAUGGUCAAUAUUUGAGGUUACUACUGGUUACGGGACCCAAAUAUUUCUCAAAACAGAAAAACAUGAGUGCAAGAACUUGGAAAGCAAACUCUCACUCCCCACAGACAGCCCGAUGGAGGCCAGCGCCCACGAGGAGGGACUGAGGAGGUGGGGUUGGGGCCACUCCCCGUUACCUUUUCAC